rnacentral:rRNA from 1 species
GACGAACUGUGCAAACGUUAUCCGGAAUCACUGGGCUUGAAGAGUGCGUAGGCGGUUUUGUAAGUAGGGUGUGAAAGCCCCCGGCUCAACCGGGGAAUUGCGCCUUAAACUGCAAGGCUGGAGUGAGGUAGGGGUGUGUGGAACUUCCAGUGGAGCGGUGAAAUGUGUUGAUAUUGGAAGGAACGCCGGUGGCGAAAGCGGCAUCCUGGACCGACACUGACGCUGAGGAGCGAAAGCCAGGGGAGCAAACGGG